AAAACGCACACAUAAGAAAAGCCGACCCACUUCAGUACUGGGAAGAACAUCCUAAUCUGUUUCCCUCUAUGGCUGCUGUUGCGAUCCCAGUGUGCCCCCUGUAGCUCUGUGGACAGUUUUGGAUUUGUUUACAUCUCACCCAACCGCUCACGGCAGAUGGCUGCACCUCUCUAAGCCUGGUUCUGCCUGAGGUUUCUUCCUGUUAAAAGGGAGUUUUUCUGAACACACUCUACCACCAACAAGGACAGCUCACCAGUGGGAACUGAUAGAUAAGACUGCUGAUGCGCUCUCAUCCAUUGAAGAGCUGACCAGAAACGUGAACAGAGAGACUGAAACUGCACCUGAUGGGAUCCCUGCCAUAACAGAUGUGUUCUGUCCAGUGAAGGCAGUGGAGAAGCCCUACACUGAUCUUGAAACUGUGCCACGCUAGUAGAGACUGGCUACAAGGAUGGGCAGCUGUUUUCGCAAAGUCAGCCAACCACUUGCUUCCAAAUGACCCUUGUCCAGAAGUAUCCGUGAGUGCCUCAUCAACAGAAACUAAAGUGGAGACCUACCUCUCAGAGAAAAACGCACACAUGACAAAAGCCGACCCACUUCAGUACUGGGAAGAACAUCCUAAUCUGUUUCCCUCUAUGGCUGCUGUUGCGAUCCCAGUGUGCCCUCCUGUAGCUCUGUGGACAGUUUUGGAUUUGUUUACAUCUCACCCCAA